CUUCUUUGUUUUAUGAUUUUCUGCCUCUGUUUUAAACAAUCGAUUACUUUUUCCAACCAUAUGUUAAAUUCCUCAUUUGGCACUAACGUGUCCUUAUUGUCAAUUUGACUCCAAAAGACAGGCGGAGCCUCAUCAUCAGCCGUAGAGGUGUCGACUCUGAUGUCCACGGCCAGAAUUUUCUCCACUUCUCAUGCGAUACAUCAUCUGCAUGAGCAACAGCCUUCACACUUAGAUCACCCGAGUCCAAGCCUGACAUGUGCAUUAAAUUAACAGGUAUUGGUAUUUGGAUUCCCUUUAAACUAUCUUCCAACUCUAUUUUACAUAAAACAGCAUCUAAAACUAACACAUAUAACAAUGGACUCAUAGGACAUCCCUGCCUGACACCAGACUUUAACAUUAUUUGUUUCCCUCUGUAUCCAUUAAUUUGAGGCACUACCA